UCCAGUUUAUCCUGCUGGAGGCUGCAGCUAUUUGGCUUGGGCUUAGACAUGCAAGUCUCUCGAAAGAGGGCAAACUGCUCAGUAACACGUAGUUAACCUCCCCUUAAGUCAGGGAUAUCCUCGGGAAACUGAGGCUAAUACCUGAUAUGAGAUUUGGCCUGGAAAGGUAUUUCUCUCAAAUUCGAGCUUAAGGAUGGGACUGCGACUGAUAGGUAGUUGGUGGGGUAAUGGCCCACCAAGCCGAUGAUCAGUAGGGGCUCUUAGCGGAGUCGCCCCGAGAAGGAAUCUGAGACACUAUUCCUAGCUCUACGGAGUGCAGCAGUCGCGAAUCUUUUGCAAUACACGAAAGUGUGACAAAGCGAGCCAAAGUGUUUUCCGCACAGGAAAACUUUUGCCAGCUGUAAACAGGCUGGCGAAUAAGGACUGGGCAAGACUGGUGCCAGCCGCCGCGGUAAUCCCAGCAGUCCAAGUUGCAGCCAGCUUUAUUGGGUCUAAAACAUCCGUAGCUUGUUUAACAAGUUUCUUGUGAAAUCUGGCAUCUUAAGUGUCAGGCGCGCAAGAAAUACUGUUAGGCUUGAGACCGGUAGAUGUAAGGAGUACAUUCAAGGUAGUGGUAAAAUACGUUAAUCUUGGGUGGACUAACAAUCGAGCGAAGGCACCUUACAAGGACGGAUCUGACAGUGAGGGAUGAAGGCUAGGGGCGCAAAACGGAUUAGAUACCCGUGUAGUCCUAGCAGUAAACACUGCUCACUAAACAUCGGGCUCUCUUCGGGAGAAUUCGGUGCUGUAGCGAAGGCGAAGAGUGAGCUACCUGGAAGUAUAGUCGCAAGAUCGAAACUUAAAGGAAUUGGCGGGGAGACACUACAACGAGUGACGCGUGCGGUUCAAUUAGAUUCUACACCGUGAACCUCACCGGGAGCGACAGCAGAAUGAAGGUCAGUCUGAAGGGCUUACCUGACACGCUGAGCGGAGAUGCAUGGCCGACGUCAGCCUGUGCUGUGAAGUGACCAGUUAAAUCUGGUAACAGGCGAGACCCAUGUGCAUAAUUACUACUGAAAGGAGAACAUUAUGCAGACUGCCUUGGUAACAAGGAGGAAGGUAUGGGCUACGUUAGGUGAGUACGUCCCUAACCCCCCGGGCUACACGCGCGCGGCAAUGGUAAACUCAGUGAGAUGCAACUCCGAGAGGAGAAGCUAAUCCCAUAAUGUUUAUCUCAGUCUAGAUUGAGGGCUGCAACCCGCCCUCAUGACACCGGAAUUCGUAGUAAUCGUUCGUUAGCAGCGAACGGUGAAUAUGUCCCUGUCUCUUGCACACACCGCCCGUCAAACCAACCGAGUUAUGUAGAGGUGAAGCUUUCGAGAAGAGCCUUUACGUGAUGAGGUAGGUUAAGUCGACACAAGGUA
rnacentral:rRNA from 1 species